ACACCAGUUCUCAUCUGAUUACCAAAGUUAAGCAAUUUUGAGCAUGGUCAGUACCCAAAUGGGUGACUACUUGGAAAUACAAGGUGCUGUAA